AGCACAGGGAAAGAGCAAAUAGGGAGAGAAUCUAGGGAAUCACAGUGGGGCCCAAACCCCUCUGGCUCUGAGCAGCACCAGGAGGCUUCUCCAAGAUAAAGCUGUGUGUGCUCACUGCUCUGUGCCCGCAGGAACUGCUCCCACGACAAGGUGGUGUCGAUGCUGCAGGGCAGCGGGGCCAUGCCCACCUUGGUGGUGGAAGAGGGCAUUGUCAACUUCUCCAACGACUCUGACUCUGCUGAGUCCCCGAGCAGCUCCUCAGCCCUCACCUCCCUGCAGUGGGUUGCAGAGAUUCUCCCCUCUAGCAUCAAGAUCCAAGGAAGGACGUUCACACAGCAGCUGGAGCACCUGCUGACCCCACCUGAGCGUUUCAGCGUCUGCAAGGCUCUGGAGGGCUUCUUCCAACAUCGGAACAUUGACACUCUCAUUGUGGAUGUGUACCCGGUGCUGGACACACCAGCCAAGCAAGUCCUCUGGCAGUUUAUCUACCAGCUGCUGACCUAUGAGGAGCAGGAGCACUGCCAGCUAAAGAUUGACAGGUUUCUGGGGUACAAGGCCUUGGCAGGUGAGAGGGAGUCCCUGUGCUCCAGCAUGGACACUUGGUGUCCUGACAGGUGCUGGGAGCUCAGUCCAUUGUGCUGGGGUAGUUUUGGAAUGGAGCUGCAUUGA
rnacentral:lncRNA from 12 species